rnacentral:rRNA from 1 species
UACGUAGGGUGCAGGCGUUAAUCGGAAUUACUGGGCGUAAAGCGUGCGCAGGCGGUCUUUUAAGUCAGAUGUGACAUCCCCGGGCUUAACCUGGGAACUGCGUUUGAAACUGGAAGGCUAGAGUGUGGCAGAGGGGGGUGGAAUUCCACGUGGAGCGGUGAAAUGCGUAGAUAUGUGGAGGAAGACCGAUGGCGAAGGCAGCCCCCUGGGUCGAUACUGACGCUCAUGCACGAAAGCGUGGGGAGCAAACAGG